UAUGAUGGCUGAGGUUUAAGUGGUGGAUUGUAGCUCCAUGAACAGAGGUUUAAGUCCUCUUCAUAC
rnacentral:tRNA from 1 species